AGAGUUUGAUCCUGGCUCAGAAUCAACGCUGGCGGCGUGCCUAACACAUGCAAGUCGCCCGAGAAAGCGGGAGCAAUCCUGUGAGUAAAGUGGCGUACGGGUGAGUAACACGUGAAUCAUCUACCUUCGAGUGUGGAAUAACUGAGAGAAAUCUUAGCUAAUACCGCAUAAUGCCUACGGGCCAAAGCAGCAAUGCGCUUGAAGAGGAGUUCGCGGCAGAUUAGUUAGUUGGCGGGGUAAUGGCCCACCAAGACGAUGAUCUGUAUCCGGCCUGAGAGGGCGCACGGACACACUGGAACUGAAACACGGUCCAGACUCCUACGGGAGGCAGCAGUGGGGAAUUUUGCGCAAUGGGGGAAACCCUGACGCAGCAACGCCGCGUGGAGGAUGAAAUCCCUUGGGAUGUAAACUCCUUUCGAUAGGGAAAAUAAUGACGGUACCUA
rnacentral:rRNA from 1 species